rnacentral:rRNA from 1 species
UCCAGACUCCUACGGGAGGCAGCAGUGAGGAAUAUUGGUCAAUGGGCUUACGCCUGAACCAGCCAAGUCGCGUGAGGGAAGACUGCCCUAUGGGUUGUAAACCUCUUUUGUCAGGGAGCAACGCCGGCUACGUGUAGCCGGACUGAGAGUACCUGAUGAAAAAGCAUCGGCUAACUCCGUGCCAGCAGCCGCGGUAAUACGGAGGAUGCGAGCGUUAUCCGGAUUUAUUGGGUUUAAAGGGUGCGUAGGCGGAAUGCCAAGUCAGCGGUAAAAUCGCGGGGCUCAACCUCGCUCCGCCGUUGAAACUGGGGGCCUUGAGUGGGCGAGAAGAAGGCGGAAUGCGUGGUGUAGCGGUGAAAUGCAUAGAUAUCGCGCAGAACCCCGAUUGCGAAGGCAGCGUACCGGCUCCACACUGACGCUGAGGCACGAAAGCGUGGGUAUCGAACAGGAUUAGAUACCCUAGUA